rnacentral:lncRNA from 1 species
UUGCAAACAAAGUUUCUUUUCCAUCAAUUGAUGGCAAGACAAUAAUCCGCGGAUUGCAUAUAAUAUAUAUGUGUAUGUGUAGCCGGUGCUAUAAUUCUGACAUGCAUCCUCCUCGGCCUACGUUGGUAGGUGCUUACAUAUGCUCAUAUAUUCACAUAUGAGUAGAACCAGAAAUAAAACCGAGAAAGCAGAGCUGCUGACAAAUGUGAACUAACAUGGCAUGUAUAUCGGACUUGCACUUUAGGCCUUGCCGGAUUCCUCGCAGCCUGGUGGCCUGAAGGCAAUGAAGCUGACGCACUGCACCUGGCGCAUGUUGUCGAAGCCAAUGACGCGGACAUAGGCGUCAGGGUACUCCUUCUUGACCUCCUCCACCUCAUUGAGCACCUGCGUGGCGUCAGUGCACCCGAACAUAGGCAGCUUCCACAUUGUCCAGUAUCGACCGUCGUAGUACCCGGGGGAGCUGUUGUGCUCACGGAAGACGAAGCCAACCUUGCUAAACUCGAGGCAGGGCACCCACUUGGAGCGGAUCAGGUAGUCGACCUGCUUAAGGAGGGCCUCCGUGGAGAGGGGUGGCAAGUAAGACAGGGUCUCGAACUUCUUGAUGCCCUCAAUCGGCCACACCUGAAUAGAUGGAAUUAACACAAUUGAUCAACACUUAGUGCUUAAACAAAGACCUAGCCAUAAUAAGGCAAAAAUUGCUCCUUAUGUCCAUACAUUUGUGGGGGGUCUCCACACGCAAGAAAGCACAAGGGCACCUCUUUCUUAUCGGUAGUGUAUGGGCAUUAAAAUUAAUAUUAUCUAGUACACAUUGGAAUAAAAUCGAUUUCCAUUCACAAAGUUUAUGAGUUAAAUAUUCCUACACAUGUGAACCUGCUUACGGACUACAUUGUGAAGCACAGUUUGGCCUGGCAUGUGGGCGUCCUAAGGAUAGCUUUGCCUAUGUGCAGUGAAAUACCCGAUAAAUUAAUCAAUUGUGGCGACAAAAACAUUCAUGCCAGCUUAGUGUCCGUCAUCCUUCGCUAAAAAAAAUCAAAAAGGAGGAUAACUCUAGCCUCUGCAUCAAGUGAUAUGCACACUGUCAUUUUUAUUAUAUUAUUCAACAGAGUCUAACAAAACAAAUACGAUUUUAAACCAAAGCCAUCUUCGAGACGAACAAAAUCGCUACACCUACAAGUACGAUGAUGUGCCUUAACCGCAUCAUCCUUCGCAAAAACAAUAUUCAGCUUUCAUACCUGCAUGCAUCUGAUCCUUCCGCCAUUGCUGACGCUGCUGAGGCCGGCGCUGCCGGAGCGGCGGCUGAUGGGAAGGCCGGCGGUCGACUUAAGCCCCUGGAAGGGCGCGACGGUGGUGGCGGAAGACGCCAUCACGGCUGGGGCCAUGGUGGAGUACGUGAAUUGCUAGGUGGGGAGGCGAUAGCUAGCUAGGCCACACUUGACUUGAGCCCUCCUCAUGCCGCUCCAGUAUAUAUCAGCAUAUGCGCAGCGCCGCUCCUUUCAAACGAGAUUUCGAAGGGGUGGUCGUCGUUUGCUUGCUGCAAGGCGCCUUAUCCCUCUGGAUCAGCGGAAGAGGGGUGCAAAAUCAAAAUGAAUGCCACGGAAAGACCCCAAAACGUCAUAUAGAUCACCAUUGAUCAUCCAAUUCUAAGGUCACUGCAUUCGUAAUGAACAAAUUCUUUGGCGUGAAACUAAACCACGCCAACACUAAAAUUCAUGAAGGGAAGUCAUCCAUACUCGUAUGUUUCAUUAUAUGAGACGGUAAUUAUUUCUUCAUUUAAAGUGUUGAUAUGGCUCCACCAUGGUAUUAGACGUGGCAUUUUCCUAUAGGAUGUGGUAUCUUCAUUUUUUUUCUAAUUUAGUAAAACUUCUUCAUAUAGGUCUCACAAUCUGAAAAUUCUCAUUCGCACGCGCGCGUUGGGUAGGUGAAGCGCUCCGCACAAUAAGUCAGGUUCCGGCCGCGCGCUAUAUUCCUUUCAUAAUUUUCACAUGUCGUUUAAUUAAGAAUGGUGGCCCCAUAUGGUAUAGCAGCCCAUUGCCAUGGAAUUAAAUGUGUUGGGCCCACCCCACCUGAUACGCGCAUUCGCGGAAGGGCUAGUUGUGGUGGCAUCAUGGUUUUCACUUUUACUGAUAUAUCUUUGAAUUACACCAAAUUUCAGUAGACAACGAAAUAUUUACCUUUCGGCCAAAAUAUAUCAGUCAUUUCAAUUCUACACAUAAAUUCAAAUAUUUUUCAAAAUAUUUUCAUAUAUUUUUUCACUUUCGGGUGAAUAUUUUGGUCUUUUGGUCAAAAUGCGAAUUGACACUACUGGAACUUAGUAAUUUUGGUAGGUACUCAAAUGAAAAAACAUGGGUGCCAUGGCAUGCAGGCCCACCCCGUGAUCAAUAUAUAAUCUCCCACUAAAUUUCAGGUGGGGGCUAGUUUCCCUACAAUAAUGAAUAAUCCAAGGGAACGGAAAUAUCACUGCACACUUUCCUAAUAGGGAUGUGGACAGCGAGUCGGAAAUCAACCACGCGGAAGCGCGUGCGAUUUAGCACCCAAAAAAUAAUUCAAGUUAAUAUAAUUUUAGCCUGGCGUGCGUGUACCUCCACAAUGUAAUGGGCUACUGUUGUUUGCAACUAAUUGUUUCGUAAUGUUAUGACUGAAUAUGGAUUUUCUCAUGAGACAUAUAGGGUUUCUGCCUCUUAGGCAGGUUUUAUGACAAAAUUGAUAGUUUCGUCAUGGAAGGACGUUCAUCGUAGAAGGCCAAAAUAUUACUAGUACAAGGUAUCUUGGGGCUCAUCAAUUGGAUAUGUAAUUUGCACAUAUUUGUGCCCUCAACACGUUCUUUGGUUUAUUGGAAUUUCUGUAAUACUGCAAAAAAAAGUAUCUAAUUGCAGUGUAAAAUGGUUAGAAAAAGUGACAUGUCUUUGAUGAAUCGAUGCAGGAAUAUGGCUCACAUGACAAGUGCAUUAUGGUAGUUUGUCCUUGUCUUGUUACGACACCUUUGUUUGUCCUUUUUCUAGUUUUUUAUUAUUAUUUUUGUUUUUUUAUUAUCUGUUUCUCGUCAAUUCCCUAUUGUUUUGCCAUUAGUUUUCAAGGGGGUCUCACCAUCUUUUAUGUGUUUCUCCACAGUAUUUUUUGAAGUACUUCGGUAUUCCAUAACAAUUUCCGUAUUAGACAAUACACAACAUAUGAUUGAGCAAGAAAUGCAUGAGAAGAAAACAAUGGAAGACAUAGGCAUUUCCGGCUGCAAAGAAAGUAACCUUUCCAUCGAUUGAUGGCAAGACACUAAUCCGUUGAUUGCAUAUAAUAUAUAUGUAUAUGUAUAGCCGGUGCUAUAAUUCUCAUAUGCAUCCUCCUCGACCUACAUUGGUAGGUGCUUACAUACAUAUGCUCGUAUAUUCACAUAUGAGUAGAACGAGAAGUAAAACUGAGAAAGCAGAGCCGCCGACAAAUGUGACUAACAUGACAUGUAUAUCAGUUACUUCAACUUGCACUUUAGGCCUUGCCGGAUUCCUCGCAGCCUGGUGGCCUGAAGGCAAUGAAGCUGACGCAUUGCACCUGGCGCAUGUUGUCGAAGCCGAUGACGCGGACAUAUGCAUCAGGGUACUCCUUCUUAACCUCCUCCACCUCAUUGAGCACCUGUGUGGCGUCGGUGCAACCGAACAUAGGCAGUUUCCACAUUGUCCAGUAUCGACCGUCAUAGUACCCGGGGGAGCUGUUGUGCUCACGGAAGACGAAGCCAACCUUGCUGAACUCGAGGCAGGGCACCCACUUGGAGCGGAUCAAGUAGUCGACCUGCUUCAGGAGGGCCUCCGUGGAGAGGGGAGGCAAGUAAGACAGGGUCUCGAACUUCUUGAUGCCCUCAAUUGGCCACACCUGAAUAGAUGGAAUGAACACAAUUGAUCAACACUUAGUGCUUUAAGAAAGACCUAGCCAUAAGGCAAAAAUUACUCCUGAUGGUCUGUCCAUACAUUGCGGGGGGUCUCCACAAGCAAGAAAGCUCAAGGGCAGCUCUUGCUUAUGGGUAGUGUACGGGCAUUAAAAAUGAUAUUAUCUAGUACACAUUGCAAUAAAAACGAUUCCAUUCACAAAGUUUAUGAGUUAAAUAUUCCUACACAUGUGAACCUGCUUACGGACUACAUUGUGAGGUUUAGUUUGGCCUGGUAUGUGGGUUACACGUCCUAAGGAUAGCUUUGCCUAUGUGCAGUGGAAAUACCCGAUAAAUUAAUCAAUUGUGCCGACAAAAACAUUCUUGACAGCUUAGUGUCCGUAAUCCUUCGCCAAAAAAAUUCAAAAAAGAGCAUAUCCUCAGCCUCUGCAUCAAGCGAUGCACACUGUCAUUUUUAUUAUAUUAUUCAACAGAGUUUAACAUAAGAAAUACGAUUUUAAAUCAAAGCCAUCUUCGAGAUGGACAAAAUUGUUACACCUACAAAUACGAUGAUGUGCCUUGACCACGCCAUCCAUCGCAAAAAUAAUAAUUAGUUUUCGUACCUGCAUGCAUCUGAUCCUUCCGCCAUUGCUGACGCUGCUGAGGCCGGCGCUGCCGGAGCGGCGGCUGACGGGGAGGCCCGCGGUCGACUUGAGCCCCUGGAAGGGCGCGACGGUGGUGGCGGAAGAAGCCAUCACGGCUGGGGCCAUGGCGGAGUACGUAAAUUGCUAGGUGGGGAAGCGAUAGCUAGCUAGGCCACACUUGACUUGAGCCCUCCUCAUGACGCUCCAGUAUAUAUCACCAUAUGCGCAGCGCCGCUCCUUCCCAACAAGAUUUCCAAGGGGUCGUCGUCGUUUGCCUGUUGCAAGGCGCCUUAUCCCUCUGGAUCAGCGGAAGAGGGGUGGCCCUCCGAUGCAUUGCGUGCGUGUGACUGCUGUACAAACAAUACAAUAAUUUUUGGAUCGUUAGAUUAGCACCUGCCUCUCUCUCCCAUAAUCUGCCGUAGUUUUCAUCUAAGGCUCCCACUAAUUUUUUGAUUUACUUUGUUUCCAGAAAGUUACUGCUCCUGGAAAUUACUCCUCAAAUAUUUGUGUCGAGGUAAUUGCACCGGUGGCGCUUGAACUUGCCAUCGAUGUUCACUUUAAUGUCUGAACUUCAAAAUUCGUCGAACUGGUAAUAGUACAUGGCACUUUUGUUCAAAUAUGGUUCAAACCAUGUUCGGAUACGUAUGUGUUGUUGACUAGGCAUGCCAGCAUGGCGCGGGGCCCACUUGCAGUGUCGGGACAAGCUCACUUGCAAAGUAUACACUCUAUGACAAUCGGGUCCCACCUGUCAGACAGGGGUGGACACAGGAUUGGGCUUAGCCCCGGGCCCUAAGCUGGCUACAGUGCGCCUACAGUGAUGCUACAGUGCCCAUCAUGCUAUACUGAACGCAGUGUGCAGUCCUCACACCCAGGGCCCAGGCCCCCCGGCCUGGGUUCUGGAUCCGCCACUGCUGUCAGGGCACAACAGCAAAAAAAACUAGCCAUGGUUGUCAAGGCUCACUAGUAGAAAACAUACCUUUGAUCCGGAGAAUUAGUUCCGGCCGGGUAUGGACCCGGAACAAUGUGAGCAUUAGUCUCGGUUCCAACGGCUAGGAGCGGACGGGAGGCACAGCAGGCUGGGGCCCCCGCGAGCCCUUUUAGUCCCGAUUGGUAUCACCAACCGAGACUAAAGAUAUCCCUAUAUAUAGAUGUUUCGUUCAGCCCGAGUCCAAGCUUUAUCCUUCCUCUCCUCUCUGUUUCCUUCCCCUAGCUCCAGCUCAUCCUCCAUUUUUGCCAAGAUUUGUCAAGAUUUCAGGCACCCCAUCUAUCCAAGGGUUCUAAAAGGUUAGCAACUUCAUCCUUUCAUCUUUCAUUGCUAGUUUAGCUCGUUUCAUGCUCUAUAAGUAUUGUGAUUUGUGGGUUUAGUUUCGGAGUAAUUAUGUGGGAGAUUAUUUGAUUUAUAUGCAAUUUGAGCUCAAAUUAACUUCUUAGUUUGCAUAUGGUGUAGGUGUGGUUUACUUAGUGCCUUCCCGUCCCCUUACUCACCGUCGUCGAUCGCCCGCGCCAUCCCGUCACCAGCACCACCUUGGUGAGCCUCUUGUUCUUAUCCUUUUUGUAAAAAAAAAUCUUAUUUGUAUGAUUUAGAUAGUUACUUGUAUAAUUUUCUUACUUGUAUGAUUGUUUGUUAUAUAUAGUGUCAUGGUUUUGAUAUCCGUCCCCGUCGGCCCUCGUCCGGUUUAUGAUUCGGAUGUGGUAUAUUAUCUUUUAUAACUAUUUAUUUUAUUUCGUGUUUAUGACAAUUAUGCCCAUCAAGUUGACAUAUAUAUUUUUAUCUAGGAGGUAUGUGAACUGUAAAUUGCAACCGACCCUCUUGUUAAGAAGUUAAAUUUAGUUUAAAAAGAAAACGAUUAUUUGAAACAAAACUUGAAAAGAAUUAAAGAAGAGAAGAUGAAAUUGGAGUUGUAUAUUGUUGAUGUCAUCGAUGAUCACAAGAUCAAGAUGGAUGCAAUGCGCUUGAAGAUUAAAAAGAUUAGAAAAUAUGUCGUUAAUAAAGAGCCUUGGUAUCAUUAUGUUGUCGGAUCAAUUAUUACCUUAGUUGCGAUUUUGAUCGCAUUUGUUGUUGCAUUUAAAUGCUUUAGCUAGAUAGUUGUAUGUCGUUUUAUGAGAAGUAUGUAUGAACUUUAUGUAUGAACUUGUAUUAAUUUGGUCACUUCGAUGUUGUGUAAUGAAGAUGAGUCGGCAAUGGAUGUAUGAUGACCAACGCUCUCGUGAGUUCAUUAAUGGCGUGCAUAGUUUUCUGCGUGUGGCUGAGGCAAACAAGCGGAAUGGUUUUAUGUGUUGUCCAUGUGGUGUCUGUAAGAAUGAUAGGGAUUACUCUACCUCAAAAAUCCUUCACAGCCACCUACUUCAGUCCAGAUUCAUGUCUGGCUAUAACUGUUGGACCAAGCACGGAGAAAGAGGAGUUAUAAUGGAAGACAAUGAAGAAGAAGAGGAUGAUGACAACUAUCCUAGGUUCCCUGAAUGUGAUGGUAUGGGGGAAGCUGAAGAAGAGGCAUCAGAUGUGCCCGCUGAUGAUCUUGGUCGGGCCAUUGCUGAUGCAAAGAGAAACUACGAAAGUGAAAAGGAGAGGUUGAAGUUGGAGCGCAUGUUAGAGGAUCACAAAAAAUUGGUAUACCCAAAUUGUGAAGAUGACAAGAAAAAGUUGCAUACCACACUGGAAUUGCUGCAAUGGAAGGCAGAAAAUGGUGUAUCUUGCAAGGUAUUCGAAAAGUUGUUGAAAAUGUUAAAGAAGAUGCUACCAAAGGAUAACGAAUUGCCUGACAGUACGUACGGAGCAAAGAGGGUUGUCUACCCUCUAGGAUUAGAGGUGCAGAAGAUACAUGCAUGCCCUAAUGACUGCAUCCUCUACCGCGGUGAGGACUAUGAGAAUUUGAAUGCAUGCCUGGUAUGUGGUGCAUUGCGCUAUAAGAUUAGCCAUGAUGACCCUAAACAAAGAGCAUGCAAAGUUGUUGCGAUGGCACAAAGAAGACCGUAAGAAAGACGGGAUGUUGAGAGUACCCGUUGAUAGGUUGCAGUGGAGAAAAAUUGAGAGAAAGUGGAUGGAGUUUGCAGAUGACACAAGGAACUUAUGGUUUAGUAUAAGUACAGAUGGCACCAAUCCUUUUGGGGAGUAGAGCAGUAGUCAUAGCACCUGGCAUGUGACUCUAUGUAUCUAUAACCUUCCUCCUCGAUUGUGCAUGAAGCGGAUGUUCAUUAUGAUGUUAGUUCUCAUCCAAGGCCCUAAGCAACCCGGCAACGACAUUGAUGUGUACCUAAGGCCAUUAGUUGAAGAACUUUUACAGUUGUGGGAUAUAAAAGAUGUACGUGUGUGGGAUGAGCACAAACAGGAGGAAUUUGACCUACGAGCGUUGUUGUUUGUAAUGAUCAAUGAUUGGCAUGCUUUUAGUAACCUUUCAGGACAGACAAACAAGGGAUACAAUGUAUGCAUGCACUGUUUAGAUGAGACUGGAAGUAUAUAUUUGGAUAAAUGUAAGAAGAAUGUGUACCUGGGACAUCGUCGAUUUCUUCUGAUCGGGCAUCUCUUAAGAAAGAAAGGCAAGCAUUUCAAAGGUGAGGCGGAUCACCAGAAGAAGCCUGACCACCGUACUGGUGAUGAUAUAUUUGAUAUCGUCAAGGAUUUAAAAGUAAUCUUUGGAAAGGGUCAUGGCGGACAAUCUGUUUCGAAUGACGCUAACGGACACACACCCAUGUGGAAGAAGAAAUCUAUAUUUUGGGACCUACCCUACUGGAAAGUCCUAGAGGUCCGCUCUGCAAUCGACGUGAUUCACGUGACGAAGAAUCUUUGCGUGAACCAGAAGAUAAAAGAUACACCGGAGGCAUGGGAGGACCUGCAACGUAUGAACGAAAAAGAAGGCAUGCAUCCAAAGCAGUAUCAAGGUCCUGCCAGCUACACUCUUACCAAAGAAGAGAAGGAAAUCUAUUUUGAAUGCCUGAGCAGUAUGAAGGUCCCGUCUGGCUUCUCUUCGAAUAUAAAGGGAACAAUAAAUAUGGCAGAGAAAAAAUUCCAAAACCUAAAGUCUCAUGACUGCCACAUGAUUAUGAUGCAAUUACUUUCGGUUGCAUUGAGGGAGCUUCUACCGGAAAAUGUUCGAUUAGCCAUUGUGAAGUAUGUGCAUUCCUCAAUGCAAUUUCUCGGAAGAUAAUCGAUCCAGAAAUCAUACCAAGGUUACAGAAUGAUUUGGUCCAAUGUCUUGUUAGUUUUGAGUUGGUGUUCCCACCAUCCUUCUUCAAUAUUAUGACGCACGUCCUAGUUCACCUAGUCGAAGAGAUUACCAUUCUGGGUCCUGUAUUUCUACACAAUAUGUUCCCUUUGAGAUGUUCAUGGGAGUCUUAAAAAAUUAUGUUCAUAACCAUGCUAGGCCAGAAGGAAGCGUCUCCAAGGGCCAUGAAACAAAGGAGGUUAUUGAGUUUUGUGUUAACUUUAUUCCUGACCUUAAGCCGAUUGGUGUUUCUCAAUCGCGACAUGAGGGGAGACUGAGUGGAAAAGGCACGCUAGGAAAGGAUUCAGUAAUAAGUAUGGACGGGCAUUCUUUCACUCAAGCGCUCUACAUAGUUCUACAAAAUUCUACCUUGAUGGCUCCGUAUAUCGAGGAACACAUGGAUAUUGUACGCUCCAAGAACCCGGAGCAGUCUGACCCCUGGAUUAAACGUACACACAUGGCAACUUUCGGCUAUUGGUUGCAAACACAUCUCAUGAAUAACACCACUAUUGGAGAUGAGAUGUACUUGCUGGCCAAGUCAACAUCUUCGACUAUAUUGACUUUCAAAGGGUACGGGAUAAAUGGGAAUACAUUUUACACGAUCGCCCAAGAUAAAACGAGCACCAACCAAAUAGUGGUGUCCGCUUUGAUGCAACAAACAACAAUAGGAAAAAGGACACAUAUUAUGGUUACAUAGAGGAGAUAUGGGAAAUUGACUAUGGACCUUCUUUUAAGGUCCCUUUGUUUCGGUGCAAAUGGGUCAAUCUGACAGGAGGCGAGGUAAAGGUAGACCCGCAGUAUGGAAUGACAACAGUGGAUCUCAACAAUCUUGGGUACACAAACGAACCAUUCGUCCUAGCCAAUUUUGUGGCACAGGUUUUCUAUGUGAAGGACAUAUCUACCAAACCGAGAAAAAGAAAAGAUAAGGAAGUGAAUACAUCAUACGAUGAGCAAAAGAGCCACAUAGUUCUUUCAGGGAAAAGAAACAUCGUGGGAGUGGAGGACAAGACAAACAUGUCAGAAGAUUAUGAAAAGUUUGAUGAAAUUCCUCCCUUCACAGUGAAGACUGGCCCAAGCAUCAUGUUAAAUGAUGAAGAUUCUCCAUGGUUACGGCGCAAUCAUAAGCAAGGGACACACGUGAAGAAAAAAAUUUAUACCCCAAGAUCCCACUCUAGGAUGUAACCGGCUUCACCGUCAUCACUUUCUCUCUAGUGAAUUUCCGGACUUAUAUUUGUAAAGUCUCACUUCGGACAAACCGGAGGGAAUCUUUGUAAGAGUUAGGGUAUAUAUGUGUUUUGGGUGUUCCUAGGUGGACUCCGGAGCAUCAGAAUCCAACCAAAAAGCUAGGGCAUUUUGGCAUUUGAAACAUGAUUUUGGAAUAAUUAUUUAAUAAGUUAUGAAUUUUCAAUUAUUCAUGUCCUAUUAGUAUUUAAAUUAUACAGAGGAGUUAAUCAAUGCAAUUAUUAAGCUAUGGAAGAGAGAGAGUUACUGGAGGUAGAAUAUGACUAGGGUGAGCUCUAGUAAAAAUUUGAGCUAAAGGAGAAUCCAUUUGGUACCCCAAUCAUUGACCGCAAGAUUUUGGCAGAAGGUGUUUGAUGAUGAAUAGAGGUACUUAGAGUAAUCCAAUGGCUUUGGAAUUUAAUAAGAAUGACCUUGGUAUCCAUUUGAGCUAGGGUGCAAAUUUGUAGCUCAUUUAAAGAAACUUGGCAAUGUAAAUAUUUCAAACCCUAGCACCGGGACUAAAUGGUUUUGACAAGCUUUGAUCAAGUUAACUUGUUCUCCAACUUGUGCCAUUUGAUGGGGGUGAUGCUCAUGACCAUCUGGCAAUGUGGUAAAAAUUUGAGAUCAAUGGGAGAAAGUUGCGAUGUAACUUUGUCAAACCCUAGAAAUGGGCAGAAUUGGUUUUGGCAUACUUUGACCAAUCUAAUUUAUUCUCCUUGAUGCACCACUUGGCCUAGAUGAAUAUUUAGACCAUUUUAGCAAUUGUACCAAGUUUGAGCUCAUUCAGACAUGUUUAGCAAUGUAAAGUUGCUCAAACUAGAAAAUGUACAGAGAUGGAUUUGAGGGAAUUUGAUGAUGUUAUCUUAUUCUCCAAGACAUGAUACUUAUAAAGAUCAUCAAAUAUAGUAUUAGUGACAUGCUACCAUUUUCUUGGAUUUAUGGUGAAUAUUUCCUUUGUAAAUAUUUCAAGAAUUAAUUUCAAUCUGUAAAGUUGUAUCUGUCAAAUAAUUUCUUCAAAAUGAAAAUUAAAACUCCUCAUGUUGACUAACAGACACAUAAUAUAAUUUGGCAAAAGAAUAACACGAAAACAUAAACUAAAACAAUUAAAACAAAUGAAAAGGUAUAAAACUAAAGGAGCUAAACCGGAUAUGUUUUUGAUUAAAAUACCUAUUUAAAAUAUCCUAAAGAUUAUCAAAUUGAACAUACUGAUAAAACACACUAAUAUUAAACAGCAGGAAAAAGAAUCACUCAAAAAUCUAUUUUAAAACUAAAGUUAAUCACAAACUAGUGAUUGACACAAAUUUCAAAGAAUUCAGCACGUAGUACAAACUAUAUUGAGUUGGCUUUAGAUAUGGCUGGUUGUGUUGGGUGCAUAAGCAUUGGGUUCUCAAAGAGAAUUCAGUGAUAUAAAUAAGUUUUAUGGCAUCAAUUUAAUUUAUUUUAUAAUGAUUGUUUUAGGUCAUCAAACAUAACCGAAUAAUCUUAAGAAAGUGUUAUGGAAUCCCUUCUAACUAUGUAACUAUUACAUGUGAAGUGAAAUGCAAGAAAAAGAUAUAAGAACAAUAUUAUUAUUUUUGAAUAAUUUAGAUGCAAGCAAUAUAUGGAGGAGGUACAUUGAUAAAUCAUAGCUAGAGUUGCAUAAUGUAAAUUUUUGCACAACUGUGCUUCUAAACCACAUCGUAAAAACAAGUGUUUGCAAGAACCAUAUCUGAAAAGGUAUAAGUUCAAUAAAAAGGGAAUAAUAAUAAUUGCCCGCACCUAGUUCAUAGCAAUGAAUAAAAUCCUUCCUAAUUAAACACCAACACAAUAUAUGGAAGAAGCAUAAAGAACAUGUAGAAGGUACAUUUUCCUGUCAAUAGAGCUUUAGAAUUAACUUUAAUGAAACAUUCAUGUUUUCAGAAGAGUGUGAUGUGCAUAUAUCUGCCCAUGAAAAACAAGAAGUUUCGUAGAAAAAUUGACCAUCUUUCAAGAAAAACACUACUUUUAUGAGAGCAUUCUGGCAUGCAAAAUUGGUUUUCUUGUAAAUGAUAACUAGAAAGUUCUAAAACUCCAGGUCAUUCUCUAGCGGCACUACUUUCAGUUUUCCAUUCCAAUUGGAUCCACAACAACAUUGAUCCGAAUUUUGUAGGAACACUUAUAUUGUUGAAUUGAACUUGAUAUCAAAUCAGUGUUUAGUUUAUAAAUAAUCUCUAUAAGUGAUACAUCUUUCAGUAUAAAUACAUUUUUCUCAAGACUACUUGGUGAAAAAAUAGCAGACACCAAAUGAAAUGUAUAAUUUUGUCAUUGGAAAAUCAAAAUGAAUGCCACGGGAAGACCCCCAAACUGUAAUAUUAAGAUCACCAUUGACUAUCCAAAUCUAAGGCUACCGCAUUCAUUAUAAAUAAAUUCUUUUCCAUGAAACUAAACCAUGCCAAGACUAAAAUUCAUGAAGGAAAGUCAUCCAUAGUAUUAUGUUUCAUUAUAUGAUACGCUAGUUAUUUCGUCAUUUAAAGUGAUGAUAUGGCUCCAUCGUGGUAUUAGAUGUGGCCUUUCCUAUGACGAUGUGGUAUCAUCAUUUUUUCUAAUCUAAUAAAAAGUCUUACAUAUUGGUCUCACAAUCCGAAAACUCUCCUUUGCACGCGCGCGUUGGACGGGUGAAGCGCUCCGCACAAGAAAUCAGGUUCCGACCACGCGCUAUAUUCCUUUCCAAACUUUGGCGUGCCAUUUAACUGAGAAUGGUAGCCCCACAUAGUAUAGCAGCCCACUGCCAUGGAACUAAAUGUGUUGGGCUCACCCCACCUGUUACGCGCAUUCACGGAAGGGCUAGUUGUGGUGGCAUCAUGGUUUUCACUUUCAGUGAGAUGUCUUUGAUUUCACUGAAUUUCAGGAAUUCAAUAGACACGAAAAUAUUUACCUUUCGUUCAGAAUAUUUCAGUCAUUUCAGUUGUACACGUGAAAUCAAAUAUUUUUCAAGAUAUUUUCAAAUAUGUUUUUGAAUUUCAAGUGAAUAUUUUGGUCUUUUGGCCAAAUGCAAACCGAAAUUAAAGAAUUUUAGUAAUUUUGGUAGGUACUGAAACAACAAUAGGGUUUUUGCCUGAAUAUGAAUUUUGUCAUGAAACAUAUAGGGUUUUUGCCUCCUAGGUAGGUUUUAUAGCAAAAUUGAUAUUUUCGUCAUGGAAGGACCUAUGUUUAUGACACAAACACAAAACAUCACAGAUAAUUCUUCGUAGAAGGCCAAAACUUUACUAGUAGAAGAUAUCUUGGGACUCGUCAAUUGGGUAUGUAAUUUGCACAUAUUUGUGUCCCUCUACACGUUCUCUGGUUUACUGGAAUUUCUGUAAUACUGCAAGAAAAAGUAUCUAAUUGCGGUGUAAAAUGGUUAGAAAAGGUGACAUGUCUUUGAUGAAUCGAUGUUGGAAUAUGGCUCACAAGACAAGUGCACUAUGGUAGGUUUGUCCUUGUCUUGUUUUGACACCUUUUGCUUGUCCUUUUUCCUAGUUUUUAAUUUGGAUUUUGGCAUUUUAUCAUCUGGUUCUCGUCAAUUUCCUACUGUGUUGCCACUAGUUUUCAAGGGGUUCUCACCAUCUUUUUAUGUGUUUCUCCACAAUAUAUUCUUAAGUACUUUGGUAUUCCAUAACAAUUUUCGCACUAGAUAGUACACAACAUAUGAUUGAGCAAAAAAUGCAUGAGAAGAAAACAAUGCAAGACAUAGGCGUUUCCAACUGCAAACAAAGUAACAUUUCCAUCAAUUGAUGGCAAGACAAUAAUUCACGGAUUGCAUAUAAUAUAUGUGUGUAUGUAUAGCCAGUGUUGUAAUUCUCAUAUGCAUCGUCCUCGACCUACGUUGGUAGGUGCUUACAUACAUAUGCUCAUAUAUUCACAUAUGAGUAGAACGAGAAGUAAAACCGAGAAAGCAGAGCUGCCGACAAAUGUGAACUAACAUGGCAUGUAUAUGUGUUACUUCAACUUGCACUUUAG